CAAAAACAUGGCUCCUUGUUUACAUUUAAUCAUGGGGAGUCGAACCUGCCCAGUGAGGUUUUUAACGGCCGCGGUACUCUGACCGUGCAAAGGUAGCAUAAUCAUUUGCCUUAUAAUUGAAGGCUAGUAUGAAUGGUUUGACGAAAGCAGAUCUGUCUCCUUUUUAUUUUAUAGAAUUUAACUUUCGGGUGAAGAGGCUCGAGUAUAAUUGAAGGACAAGAAGACCCUGUCGAGCUUAAAAGAACAGGUAGAAGUUUAUAUAUAGACUUAGAUAAAUAAUCUACUGAGCUUUUUAGUUGGGGCGACUGAGGAACAAAAAAAGCUUCUUAAAUACAAAAAACUUACAAGUUUAGAUCCAACUAGUUUGAUUAAGGAAAUUAGUUACCGCAGGGAUAACAGCAUAAUCUCUCUUGAGAGACCUAAUCGAAAGAGGGGGUUGUGACCUCGAUGUUGGACUAGAAUAUCCUAAAGAUGCAGAAGUCUUUGAGGGUUGGUCUGUUCGACCAUUAAAAUUCUACGUGAUCUGA
rnacentral:rRNA from 1 species